rnacentral:tRNA from 1 species
AAAACUUUAGGUUAAUGUUAAACUACUGGUUUUCAAAGCCAGUGAUAUGAUUAUUUUAGGUUUUA